rnacentral:lncRNA from 1 species
UAAUUCUCACAAAAUCCUCCAAAUUGAAGCUCAAAUCAAGCCCGAAUCGUCUGCAUGAUUACAAAUUCGUGAUCUCCAUUGAAAGGGGAGUCAUAAGUUUGACUCUUGACGAGCUAGGUGAAGCUUGGAGGAGAAGAUCAAACGGGAUAAAGGCACGAGUAAGACUUGCUUGGAUGAAAGGAUUUGGUUUGAAUCAUGGGUUCCGACCCAAAACGAAAUGA